rnacentral:misc_RNA from 1 species
AAGUCGUAACAAGGUUUCCGUAGGUGAACCUGCGGAAGGAUCAUUACUGUUAACUUUUUAUAAACACCAGAGUUUUUAAACUCUGUGUUUGCAAACAAAAACACCCUUUAAAAUAGCUUUUGAGUGUCUGAAUUUAACCUAGUUAAUACAAAAACAACUUUCAACAACGGAUCUCUUGGCUCUC